UAUCAAGAAAAAUACGAAAAA
rnacentral:piRNA from 1 species